CUUUUGGGUGGUGAGCUGAGGAAGAAAAUACAUAAUGGUAUGUAUUUGCCAGCUUAGAAUUGAAAAAGUGGAAGUCAUCUGAGAAUAUUGCACUAGAUGAAGCCUCAUACUCUACAAAGCUCAAGCGCACAAAAGGAAGGAGACAAGAUAAAGGAAAAAUGUUCUCGUAGUGACCUUCAGAAAGUGAACUGAGAUUCAGCUGGGACUCCAGAUGAACACAAAACCAUUCUUGUACCACCAACAGUUGGCAACAGUUCCUCCAUAACAGCGAUUUUUACUCUGCUACUUAAAUCACUCUCAUAUUCGGAACAGUCCACAAUUCAAAGUUAGGAGAUUAAACACUGUCAUACUUGUGA